GAUGAAGAACGUAGCGAAAUGCGAUAAGUAAUGUGAAUUGCAGAAUUCAGUGAAUCAUCGAAUCUUUGAACGCAUCUUGCGCUCCUUGGUAUUCCGAGGAGCAUGCCUGUUUGAGUGUCAUUUAACUUCUCAACCACAUUGGAUAUUUUUUUUCCGAUGCCGGCUUGGAUGUGGGGGUUGUCUGCAGGCUUUUUGUAACAAAAAAGGUCGGCUCCCCUGAAAUGUAUUAGUGGUAUCUGAGGCUAUUACUAUUAGGUGUGAUAAUUAUCUAUGCCUUUUGGGUAUGCCGCAUGAACAGAUUAUGCUGCUUCUAACGAAAACUAUUUUGAUGAAUUUGACCUCAAAUCAGGUAGGACUACCCGCUGAACUUAAGCAUAUCAAUAAGCGGAGGA
rnacentral:misc_RNA from 1 species